rnacentral:rRNA from 1 species
UACGAAGGGGGCUAGCGUUGUUCGGAAUUACUGGGCGUAAAGCGCACGUAGGCGGGUAUUUAAGUCAGGGGUGAAAUCCCAGAGCUCAACUCUGGAACUGCCUUUGAUACUGGGUACCUAGAGUAUGGAAGAGGUGAGUGGAAUUCCGAGUGUAGAGGUGAAAUUCGUAGAUAUUCGGAGGAACACCAGUGGCGAAGGCGGCUCACUGGUCCAUUACUGACGUGAGGU